rnacentral:rRNA from 1 species
GUGCCAGCCGCCGCGGUAAUACCGGCAGUUCGAGUGAUGGCCGAUCUUAUUGGGCCUAAAGCGUUCGUAGCUGGCCAGUCAAGUCCGUCGGGAAAUCCACUCGCCCAACGAGUGGGCGUCCGGCGGAAACUGCACAGCUUGGGACCGGAAGGCUCGAAGGGUACGUUCGGGGUAGGAGUGAAAUCCCAUAAUCCCGCACGGACCACCGAUGGCGAAAGCACUUCGAGAAAACGGAUCCGACAGUGAGGGACGAAAGCCAGGGUCUCCAACCGGAUUAGAAACCCGAGUAGUCC